rnacentral:rRNA from 1 species
UACGAAGGGGACUAGCGUUGUUCGGAAUCACUGGGCGUAAAGCGCACGUAGGCGGAUGUGUCAGUCAGGGGUGAAAUCCCGGGGCUCAACCUCGGAACUGCCUUUGAUACAGCACGUCUCGAGUCCGGAAGAGGUGGGUGGAAUUCCUAGUGUAGAGGUGAAAUUCGUAGAUAUUCGCAAGAACACCAGUGGCGAAGGCGGCUCACUGGCCCGGUACUGACGCUGAGGCACGAAAGCGUGGGGAGCAAACAGG